GUGGUUUAAUUCGAUGUUACACGAAGAACCUUACCAGGGCUUGACAUCCCCUGACCGCGUAUGAAAGUACGUUUUCACCCUCGGGUGACAGGGAGACAGGUGGUGCAUGGUUGUCGUCAGCUCGUGUCGUGAGAUGUUGGGUUAAGUCCCGCAACGAGCGCAACCCUCGACCUUAGUUGCCAGCAUUCAGUUGGGCACUCUAAGGUGACUGCCGGCUAAAAGUCGGAGGAAGUGGGGAUGACGUCAAAUCAUCAUGCCCCUUAUGACCUGGGCUACACACGUGCUACAAUGGGCGGUACAAAGGGUCGCGAACCCGCGAGGGGGAGCCAAUCCCAAAAAGCCGCUCUCAGUUCGGAUUGCAGGCUGCAACUCGCCUGCAUGAAGCCGGAAUCGCUAGUAAUCGCGGAUCAGCAUGCCGCGGUGAAUACGUUCCCGGGCCUU
rnacentral:rRNA from 1 species